UAAACAUUGACAGUUAUUAACACCCACUGUCCGCCUGGGAACUACGAGCGCCAGCUUAAAACCCAAAGGACUUGGCGGUGCUUUAGACCCACCUAGAGGAGCCUGUUCUAGAACCGAUAAUCCCCGUUAAACCUCACCCUUCCUUGCCAUUUCCGCCUAUAUACCGCCGUCGUCAGCUUACCCUAUGAAGGUCCUAUAGUAAGCACAAUCGGCAAUGCCCAAAACGUCAGGUCGAGGUGUAGCGAAUGGAGGGGGAAGAAAUGGGCUACAUUUACUAGUACAGUAAAUACGGAUGAUCACCCUGCAACGAGUAUCUGAAGGAGGAUUUAGCAGUAAGUAAAAAAUAGA
rnacentral:rRNA from 1 species